rnacentral:rRNA from 1 species
AAAGAAUUUGGGUUAUCGAUGGGGAUGCGUUCCAUUAGUUAGUUGGCGGGGUAACGGCCCACCAAGACGACGAUGGAUAGGGGUUCUGAGAGGAAGGUCCCCCACAUUGGAACUGAGACACGGUCCAAACUCCUACGGGAGGCAGCAGUGAGGAAUAUUGGUCAAUGGACGAGAGUCUGAACCAGCCAAGUAGCGUGAAGGAUGACUGCCCUAUGGGUUGUAAACUUCUUUUAUAUGGGAAUAAAACAGGGUAUGCAUACCCUCUUGUAUGUACCAUAUGAAUAAGGAUCGGCUAACUCCGUGCCAGCAGCCGCGGUAAUACGGAGGAUCCGAGCGUUAUCCGGAUUUAUUGGGUUUAAAGGGAGCGUAGGUGGAUUGUUAAGUCAGUUGUGAAAGUUUGCGGCUCAACCGUAAAAUUGCAGUUGAAACUGGCAGUCUUGAGUACAGUAGAGGUGGGCGGAAUUCGUGGUGUAGCGGUGAAAUGCUUAGAUAUCACGAAGAACUCCGAUUGCGAAGGCAGCUCACUGGACUGCAACUGACACUGAUGCUCGAAAGUGUGGGUAUCAAACAGGAUUAGAUACCCUGGUAGUCCACACAGUAAACGAUGAAUACUCGCUGUUUGCGAUAUACAGUAA